AACCAUAGAAACCUGCGGAGUACCUGCGGAAGGAUCAUUAACAAGCCCGUGAAGAUCACCUUCCAAAACAGGAUGUGUGAUCUCUCACCCGGCCACCCUUGUUUACCUUAAACCUGUUGCCUUGGUGGGCCCGCCAGCUAGGCCGCUGGGGAACUUAGUUUCCGGGCGAGUGCUCACCAGAGUCCCAUUGAACUCUUUCUGAAGUUAUGCUGUCUGAGCAUGUGCAAAACAAAUGUUAGA
rnacentral:misc_RNA from 1 species